rnacentral:rRNA from 1 species
ACAGAGUUCGUGCCCUCACGGGUAGAUCUCCCACCCUGUGUUAUUGUUACCUUUGUUGCUUUGGCGGGCCGCCCGGCCCCGGUCAGGCUACCGGCUCACGCUGGUAAGCGCCCGCCAGAGGACCCAAAACUCUGAAUGUUAGUGUCGUCUGAGUACUAUAUAAUGUUAAAACUUUCAACAACGGAUCUCUUGGUUCUGGCAUCGAUGAAGAACGCAGCGAAAUGCGAUAAGUAAUGUGAAUUGCAGAAUUCAGUGAAUCAUCGAAUCUUUGAACGCACAUUGCGCCCCUUGGUAUUCCGAGGGGCAUGCCUGUUCGAGCGUCAUUUCAACCCUCAAGCAAAGCUUGGUCUUGGGCUUCGCCGCUAACCCGGCGGGUCUUAAAAUCAGUGGCGGUGCCGUCGGGCCCUGAGCGUAGUAAAUCUCCUCGCUAAAGGGUCCCGGUGGAUGCUGGCCAACAACCCCCAAUUUUCUAUGGUUGACCUCGGAUCAGGUAGGGAUACCCGCUGAACUUAA